CAGUCGCCGCGGUAAUACGGAGGGUGCAAGCGUUAAUCGGAAUUACUGGGCGUAAAGCGCACGCAGGCGGUUUGUUAAGUCAGAUGUGAAAUCCCCGAGCUUAACUUGGGAACUGCAUUUGAAACUGGCAAGCUAGAGUCUUGUAGAGGGGGGUAGAAUUCCAGGUGUAGCGGUGAAAUGCGUAGAGAUCUGGAGGAACAUCAGUGGCGAAGGCGGCCAUCUGGGACAACACUGACGCUGAGGCACGAAAGCGUGGGGAGCAAACAGGAUUAGAUACCCGUGUAGUCCCUGUCUCUUAUAA
rnacentral:rRNA from 1 species